GUGGUCUUCGGGAGAUUCUUUCUGAAGCAGCUCUGGAAUAGUCAAGCCCAUUUUUCUGCUCCAUUUCUUUUUGUAAUGUGGGGUCACUUUUCCGCUCUAGACGUUACUUUUCUUAAGCGACUGUCACUCCAACUCGCGCCACGGGCCCUGGUUCCCACCUACCCAGUCUUAGUUUCUGACAAGUCUCCGAGAAACUGCACUUUUUUCUUUUGAAGGGUUCUUUUGCCUCACCUUUACCGCACCCCGAACGUCUUUUGACUGGACUGUGUCCUUGGAAUUAAAUGUUCCGAAAUGCCCUUUCAUGAGAACUCCCUCGGAUAGAAGGACACUCACAGACCAUGGACUGCAGAGAUUAUUCUGUUGACUUUGACCUGGAAGUGGGAGUUGCAGGGUGUGAAAAUGAUUUUGCAAGACUUUUCCAGGUCAUGAGGUGCUCUCUGAGAAAUUUCUUCUGCUCCCUAAAGCGAUUGGCAGUUAAGAGCCAUUAGGGCAUCUCCUGCUGGAAGACUCGGGACAAGAUAACCUGGUUGGAGAACGGAGCAAUCAGCCUUCGCCAGGUGCAAGACAAAUCCCUGUGCCUGUGCGGCGUUUGCAUGUGUGGCAAGACAUAAUACUUUGAUUUCUGCUUUUGCAGUGUCGAAACAAGUAACUAGUAUACCCCGAC
rnacentral:lncRNA from 1 species